rnacentral:rRNA from 1 species
UAGGGAGCGAGCGUUGUCCGGUAUUACUGGGUGUACAGGGAGCGUAGGCGGGGACGCAAGUUGGAUGUUUAAACGGCCGGCCCAACUGGUCGGUGCAACCAAAACUGCGAUUCUUGAGUGAAGUAGAGGCAGGCGGAAUUCCUAGUGUAGCGGUGAAAUGCGUAGAUAUUAGGAGGAACACCAGUGGCGAAGGCGGCCUGCUGGGCUUUAACUGACGCUGAGGCUCGAAAGCGUGGGGAGCAAA